rnacentral:rRNA from 1 species
AACGCGAAGAACCUUACCUAAGCUUGACAUCCUUUUGCCCGAUGCCUAAUCGCAUUUUUCCCUUGGGGGACAGAACUGACAGGUGGUGCAUGGUUGUCGUCAGCUCGUGUCGUGAGAUGGUGGGUUAAGUCCCGCAACGAGCACCCCCCUUGCCUUUUGUUGCCAGCAUUAAGUGGGGCUCUAUAGAGGGACCCCCGGGUAUACCGGGGAAGAAGGGGGGGAUGAUGUCAAAUCAUCAUGCCCUUUUUUCUGGGGGCUACACACGUGUUAAAAGGGGGGGUACAAAGGGCAGGCAACCCGUGGGGCGGAGCAAACCCCAAAACCCCUUUCUCAUUUCGGAUUGUGUGUCGAAACUCGCCAACGUGAAGGUGGAGGUACUAGAAAUUAGAAUG